GCACGCCGCGUGAGUGAUGAAGGCUUUCGGGUCGUAAAACUCUGUUGUUAGGGAAGAACAAGUACAAGAGUAACUGCUUGUACCUUGACGGUACCUAACCAGAAAGCCACGGCUAACUACGUGCCAGCAGCCGCGGUAAUACGUAGGUGGCAAGCGUUAUCCGGAAUUAUUGGGCGUAAAGCGCGCGCAGGCGGUUUCUUAAGUCUGAUGUGAAAGCCCACGGCUCAACCGUGGAGGGUCAUUGGAAACUGGGGAACUUGAGUGCAGAAGAGAAAAGCGGAAUUCCACGUGUAGCGGUGAAAUGCGUAGAGAUGUGGAGGAACACCAGUGGCGAAGGCGGCUUUUUGGUCUGUAACUGACGCUGAGGCGCGAAAGCGUGGGGAGCAAACAGGAUUAGAUACCCUGGUAGUCCACGCCGUAAACGAUGAGUGCUAAGUGUUAGAGGGUUUCCGCCCUUUAGUGCUGCAGCUAACGCAUUAAGCACUCCGCCUGGGGAGUACGGUCGCAAGACUGAAACUCAAAGAAAUUUGACGGA
rnacentral:rRNA from 2 species